AGCGAACGCUGGCGGCAGGCCUAACACAUGCAAGUCGAACGAACUCUCCGGAGUUAGUUGCGGGCGGGUGAGUAACACGUGGGAAGGUGCGUUAUGGCUCGGAAAACUUCAGGGUAAUUUGGGCUAACACCGAGAAAGUCCUGCUGAGACGAGAUCUAACGACAUUGUAGCGGCACGGGUCUGACUAGCUUGUUGGUGUGGUAAGGGCUGAUCACGGCGACGAUCAGUAGCUGGGUUGAGAGGAGGACCAGCCACGCCGGGACUGGGACGCGGCCGAGACUCCUACGGGAGGCAGCAGUGGGGAAUCUUGCGACAUCGGCGCAUGCCUGACGGAGCCAUGCCGGGUGAGUGCUGAUGGUGUUAGGGUAGUAAAACUGUUUCAUCGGUGACGGUAAUGACGGUACCCGGAGAAGAAGCGCCGGCUAACUUCGUG
rnacentral:rRNA from 1 species